rnacentral:ncRNA from 1 species
CGAUGCCUCUGGAAAGCGGUGACAAUGUUCACCCGCCGAUGGGGAAAGACAUGUUGGGCUUAGCGCAGCUGUCGAAUCUCUCAGGCGCCCGGCUCGGGUAGGGACAGAGGGAGAGGA